rnacentral:rRNA from 1 species
CAUGUGUAGGAUAGGUGGGAGGCUAAGAAGCUGGGGCGUCAGCCUCGGUGGAGCCAACGGUGAAAUACCACUCUUGUUCAGUUUUGGUUCUAACCCGCUCUGUGAGCGGGGACAAUGUCUGGUGGGUAGUUUGACUGGGGCGGUUGCCUCCUAAAAGGUAACGGAGGCGUCCAAAGGUUCCCUCAGCACGGAUGGAAAUCGUGUGUUGAGUGCAUUGGCAUAAGGGAGCUUAACUGUGAGACCUACAAGUCGAGCAGAGACGAAAGUCGGGCAAAGUGAUCCCACGGCCCCGUGUGGAAGGGCCGUGGCUUAUCGGAUAAAAGCUACGCCAGGGAUAACAGGCUUAUCUUGCCCAAGAGUUCAUAUCGACGGCAAGGUUUGGCACCUCGAUGUCGGCUCAUCGCAUCCUGGGGCUGGAGAAGGUCCCAAGGGUUGGGCUGUUCGCCCAUUAAAGCGGUACGCGAGCUGGGUUCAAACCGUCGUGAGACAGGUUGGUCUCUAUCCGUCGUGGGCGCUGGAGAUUUGAGGGGAGCUCUCCUUAGUACGAGAGGAUCAGGAGGGACAGACCUCUGGUGUGCCAGUUGUUGCGCCAGCAGCAGUGCUGGGUAGCCAAGUCUGGAGGGGAUAAGCGCUGAAAGCAUCUAAGUGCGAAGCCCACCCCAAGAUAAGAUCUCCCACCGGGUUAACCGGGUAAGGCCGCAAGUAGACUACUUGCUUGAUAGGCGGCGUGUGUAAG